CAAGACCAAGUCUAGCAGGAAUUCUGGCAUGGUAUGUGGCUGCACGGAGGAUUCCGAAAAAGAAAAACAACAACAUGGCUAAUAGGAUGUUGCUGCCCAGGGAGUCCUGGCCGAAGAGGUUUACUCAUUCCAGAAGCAA